rnacentral:rRNA from 1 species
UACGUAGGGGGCAAGCGUUGUCCGGAUUUAUUGGGCGUAAAGAGCGUGUAGGCGGCCAAGCAGGUCCGCUGUGAAAACUCGAGGCUCAACCUCGAGACGUCGGUGGAAACCGUUUGGCUAGAGUCCGGAAGAGGAGAGUGGAAUUCCUGGUGUAGCGGUGAAAUGCGCAGAUAUCAGGAGGAACACCGGUGGCGAAGGCGGAUCUCUGGGCCUUACCUGACGCUGAGGAGCGAAAGCAUGGGGAGCAAACAGG